rnacentral:rRNA from 1 species
UACGGAGGGUGCAAGCGUUAUCCGGAUUCACUGGGUUUAAAGGGUGCGUAGGCGGAUAGGUAAGUCCGUGGUGAAAUCCUGCAGCUUAACUGCAGAACUGCCGUGGAUACUAUCUAUCUUGAAUGUCGUGGAGGUUAGCAGAAUAUGUCAUGUAGCGGUGAAAUGCUUAGAUAUGACAUAGAAUACCCAUUGCGAAGGCAGCUAACUACGCGAUAAUUGACGCUGAUGCACGAAAGCGUGGGGAUCAAACAGG